rnacentral:rRNA from 1 species
GGAGUUAGCCGGUGCUUCUUCUGUGAGUGAUGUCCUUCCUGCCGGCUAUUAACCCGCAGGCCUUCUUCCUCACUGAAAGUGCUUUACAACCCGAAGGCCUUCUUCACACACGCGGCAUGGCUGGAUCAGGGUUGCCCCCAUUGUCCAAUAUUCCCCACUGCUGCCUCCCGUAGGAGUCUGGGCCGUGUCUCAGUCCCAGUGUGGCUGAUCAUCCUCUCAGACCAGCUACGGAUCGUCGCCUUGGUGAGCCGUUACCUCACCAACCAGCUAAUCCGACAUAGGCUCAUCCGAUAGCGCGAGGCCCGAAGGUCCCCCGCUUUCCCCCGUAGGGCGUAUGCGGUAUUAGCCUGGGUUUCCCCAGGUUAUCCCCCACUACCGGGCAGAUUCCUAUGCAUUACUCACCCGUCCGCCGCUCGCCACCAGGGAGCAAGCUCCCCGUGCUGCCGCUCGACUUGCAUGUGUUAGGCCUGCCGCCAGCGUUCAAUCUGAGCCAGAAUCGAAACCUCGUACGUACGUAGACGGCGGUCGGUCGGACGACGGGCGACUAGUAG